rnacentral:rRNA from 1 species
GACGAACGCUGGCGGCGUGCUUAACACAUGCAAGUCGAACGGAAAGGCCCUGCUUUUGUGGGGUGCUCGAGUGGCGAACGGGUGAGUAACACGUGAGUAACCUGCCCUUGACUUUGGGAUAACUUCGGGAAACUGGGGCUAAUACCGGAUAGGAGCUCCUGCUGCAUGGUGGGGGUUGGAAAGUUUCGGCGGUUGGGGAUGGACUCGCGGCUUAUCAGCUUGUUGGUGGGGUAGUGGCUUACCAAGGCUUUGACGGGUAGCCGGCCUGAGAGGGUGACCGGCCACCAUGGGACUGAGAUACGGCCCAGACUCCUACGGGAGGCAGCAGUGGGGAAUAUUGCACAAUGGGCGGAAGCCUGAUGCAGCAACGCCGCGUGCGGGAUGACGGCCUUCGGGUUGUAAACCGCUUUCGCCUGUGACGAAGCGUGAGUGACGGUAAUGGGUAAAGAAGCACCGGCUAACUACGUG